rnacentral:pre_miRNA from 1 species
ACGUAGGGCAAUCUGUCUGUAAGUAGGGAUAAAUUACUCUUUUAAAAAAAAAAAAAAAUCCUAAAUAGUUUUCCCUUCAAAUCAAGCAUCUUCU